UACAGAGGGUGCGAGCGUUGUUCGGAAUUAUUGGGCGUAAAGCGCGUGUAGGCGGCUAGGCAAGUCGGAUGUGAAAGCCCUCGGCUUAACCGAGGAAGUGCGUUCGAAACUGCCUGGCUUGAGUACCGGAGAGGGUGGCGGAAUUCCCGGUGUAGAGGUGAAAUGCGUAGAUAUCGAGAGGAACACCUGAGGUGAAGACGGGUUGCUGGGCCGACACUGACGCUGACAGCGCGAAAGCCAGGGGAGCAAACGGG
rnacentral:rRNA from 1 species